UACGUAGGGUGCAAGCGUUGUCCGGAAUUAUUGGGCGUAAAGAGCUCGUAGGCGGUCUGUCGCGUCGGAUGUGAAAACCCAGGGCUCAACCCUGGGCCUGCAUUCGAUACGGGCAGACUAGAGUUCGGUAGGGGAGAUCGGAAUUCCUGGUGUAGCGGUGAAAUGCGCAGAUAUCAGGAGGAACACCGGUGGCGAAGGCGGAUCUCUGGGCCGAUACUGACGCUGAGGAGCGAAAGCGUGGGGAGCGAACAGG
rnacentral:rRNA from 1 species